ACAGGACUAAACUUAUUAGGGCCGUGAUUAAUAGCAAUUGUAGCUUAAAUUGGUCCAUAGUUUUUGUGUAUGUUAUUAAUCAAAUAAUGAAAUAAUCACCCAACCUUCCAGCAGUAUAUUAACUCUGUAGAGUUCUAGCUGAAAUCUAAUCUUUAGUAGUCCUCAUCACCAAGUGUUCGAAUCGAAGGUAUCAUGAUCUUACUCUGGAGUCAAUGAAUGAUGCUAACAUUGUAAAGAAUGCAAAAUUCGAAUAAUACGUUACUAAAAAUCUCGGAUUAGUUACUGUAAUAGUUGCAAUUGCAAAAUUUACAGGAAGAAUUAUUGAAGAAGAUUGAUUUUGAUUUAAUAUAUGUAUGAUCCUUAAAUCAUGGAUAUAAAUUUAUCAAAACUGAAUAUAAUGGCCUGUUUUUCUCUUUAAAGUUGUGAAUUAAGUUCUAAUCCGAGAUGUUUUUCUCUUUAAAAUGUGGUGAGAAUGAUAUGAUUAGUAUUCUUAUUUUUCAUGCUUAGGUUUUAUCUUGUUUGAAAUGAGUUGAAUGAGUCUAUUGACUUUGUGGCUAUGAUGCGAGCGUGUAGUAUCAUCAAAAAUUGGGAGGAAGUGAGAUGUGGAUACUAUGUCGUGUACUAUAUGUUUGAAACAGUUCAACAUCACCGUAGUAAUGAGGAUCUUGUUAGAUUUUUGAAGAACAAUACCUUAUAAUGGGGAGGAGAUAAAUGAGGUUCGAGAUAUUUAGUCAAACUAUUUCAUGAUCAAUGUUGAAAUUUAGAUUUAAACUUAGCUAAAUCCAUUUGUUUGUUAGACUUUUUUUUGUUUUAGUUCUUAGGCUUGAAAUGAAUGUAUUUGGGGUACCAACAUUUUGGGUUGGUCUUUGUUCUUGUGUUGGUUGAUGAUAUCAAUAAUUUUGAGUUGUAAAAUUUUGAGACUCUGCUGAAAUUUACAUUUAAAUUCAA